rnacentral:rRNA from 1 species
AGAGUUUGAUCAUGGCUCAGAACGAACGCUGGCGGCAUGGUUUAGGCAUGCAAGUCGAGCGCGAACGAGAGCUUCGGCUCUCAAGUAGAGCGGCGAAAGGGUGAGUAAUGCUUGGGCAAUCUGCCCCUCGCACUGGGAUAGCCACUGGAAACGGUGGGUAAUACCGGAUGGUCUCCCGGCGGCCAAGGUCGCUGGGAGUAAAGGUGGGGAUCUUCGGACCUAUCGGCGAGGGAGGAGCUCGAGUCCUAUCAGCUUGUUGGUGCGGUAACGGCGCACCAAGGCGAAGACGGGUAGCCGGACUGAGAGGUUGGCCGGCCACACUGGCACUGAGACACUGGCCAGACUCCUACGGGAGGCUGCAGUCGAGAAUCUUCCGCAAUGGACGCAAGUCUGACGGAGCGACGCCGCGUGGAGGAAGAAGGCCUUCGGGUUGUAAACUCCUGUCAGGGUUUAUGAAAGCGGCCGUGGCCAAUACCCACGGUCGUUGACAAAGGACCCAAAGGAAGCCACAGCUAACUUCGUGCCAGCAGCUGCGGUAAGACGAAGGUGGCAAGCGUUGUUCGGAUUCACUGGGCAUAAAGGGCGUGUAGGCGGUAUGGCAAGCGGCGUGUGAAAGCCCGAAGCUCAACUUCGGAACUGCAUGCCGAACUGCCGUACUAGAGGACAGGAGGGGGAUGUGGAACUCUAGGUGUAGCGGUGAAAUGCGUAGAUAUCUAGAGGAACGCCGGUGGCGAAAGCGACAUCCUGGCCUGUAUCUGACGCUGAGGCGCGAAAGCGUGGGUAGCAAACAGGAUUAGAUACCCUGGUAGUCCACGCCGUAAACGAUGAGCACUAGGUAGCCGCGG